rnacentral:rRNA from 1 species
GAUGAACGCUGGCGGCGUGCCUAAUACAUGCAAGUCGAGCGAACGGACGAGAGGCUUGCUUCUCUGAUGUUAGCGGCGGACGGGUGAGUAACACGUGGAUAACCUACCUAUAAGACUGGGAUAACUUCGGGAAACCGGAGCUAAUACCGGAUAAUAUUUUGAACCGCAUGGUUCAAAAGUAAAAGACGGUCUUGCUGUCACUUAUAGAUGGAUCCGCGCUGCAUUAGCUAGUUGGUAAGGUAACGGCUUACCAAGGCAACGAUGCAUAGCCGACCUGAGAGGGUGAUCGGCCACACUGGAACUGAGACACGGUCCAGACUCCUACGGGAGGCAGCAGUAGGGAAUCUUCCGCAAUGGGCGAAAGCCUGACGGAGCAACGCCGCGUGAGUGAUGAAGGUCUUCGGAUCGUAAAACUCUGUUAUUAGGGAAGAACAUAUGUGUAAGUAACUGUGCACAUCUUGACGGUACCUAAUCAGAAAGCCACGGCUAACUACGUG